rnacentral:tRNA from 1 species
GGGCUCAUCGUCCAACGGGAAGACACCAGCUCGGCAGGCUGGGGAUCCGGGUUCGACUCCCGGUGGGUCCA